UACAGAGGUCUCAAGCGUUGUUCGGAAUCAUUGGGCGUAAAGCGCGUGUAGGCGGCCCGGUAAGUCCGCUGUGAAAGUCGGGGGCUCAACCCUCGGAUGCCGGUGGAUACUGUCGGGCUCGAGUACGGAAGAGGCGAGUGGAAUUCCUGGUGUAGCGGUGAAAUGCGCAGAUAUCAGGAGGAACACCAAUUGCGAAGGCAGCUCGCUGGGACGUUACUGACGCUGAGACGCGAAAGCGUGGGGAGCAAACAGG
rnacentral:rRNA from 1 species